AGUGCGGAUAUGAUUUAACGAAUACCUAUACAGUAUAAUUUAUGGUCACCUUUAAUUUCGUUUGACGAAAGGAAGCAGAAAAUAAUUUCCUUUUCCUCCAAUACAAGUUGUUCGGUUAAGCCUAUUGCUGUUAAGUUCACUUUAUCAAAUAGACACUGAGUGAAUUGGGUUUUGAUGUCAACUUGACACUGAGUGAAAGUUGAACCAAAUUUUCAGUUUAUCAAUGCCGUACCCGUGCUUUUUUUGCACAUACUAUAUUAUAUACAGCACGUAAAGCGUAUAAAAAAGGCGAACGUUAUAAAUUUGAUUUCAGUAAAAGAAAGAAACGUUGUUUGGGCAUAUUGUUGUACGAGAUAUAUAGGCUACAGAUUGGUUGUUUGCUGCCAAAUACAUAUAGUAUGCGAAUAGUUAUUUUACUUCUCUUCAUCUGCGUUCUUUUUGAAGACGGUGCGCUUGUCCAGUCAAGAACACGUCGUAGCAAAAAGAGAAAUAUCCCAUUUAUUAACUUUUGCACGAGGCAGAGAUCCAAUGGCUGUGGAACGAGACGGUGGUGGUUCAUGAAACAAAGCUUGAAACUAAAUAAAGAUCCGGAAGAUGCAAAACACUUGGAAGAGCUGCUGGAUUUUGAAAAUUCAUAAACCGGAGACCAUGUUUAAACCGAAAUCUUUUUCCUCAACCACUUUUCUUUCGUCAUGGUCAUUUUAGCGCAUUUCAAUUUCUUACAUCUAUCGACGAGUUAUAAUACACAUUUAUUGCUUUAAAAUUAAUGUUCAGAUUUAAAACGACAAAAGUGAAGAUACAUUUAAAGUUCCUUAACCUUUAAAUAAAUAAAGCGC